CCCACGGGAGGCAGCAGUGGGGAAUAUUGGACAAUGGGCGAAAGCCUGAUCCAGCAAUGCCGCGUGAGUGAUGAAGGCCUUAGGGUUGUAAAGCUCUUUUACCAGGGAUGGUAAUGACAGUACCUGGAGAAUAAGCUCCGGCUAACUCCGUGCCAGCAGCCGCGGUAAUACGGAGGGAGCUAGCGUUGUUCGGAAUUACUGGGCGUAGAGCGUGCGUAGGCGGUGACUCAAGUCAGAGGUGAAAGCCUGGAGCUCAACUCCAGAACUGCCUUUGAAACUAGGUCGCUAGAAUCAUGGAGAGGUGAGUGGAAUUCCGAGUGUAGAGGUGAAAUUCGUAGAUAUUCGGAAGAACACCAGUGGCGAAGGCGGCUCACUGGACAUGUAUUGACGCUGAGGCACGAAAGCGUGGGGAGCAAACAGGAUUAGAUACCCUGGUAGUCCACGCCGUAAACGAUGAUAACUAGACUGCAGGCGUCAUGGAGCGUUGGUGGCGCGNGCUACGACAUUAAGUUAUCCGCCGUCGGGUAGGUACGGUCGCGAAGAAGUUAAACGUAACAAAUAGAAGUUAGUACGGCGUGAGACGUAGACCGACGGACGACGACGAGGGGAGGAGG
rnacentral:rRNA from 1 species